AGAAAAAAUACAACAACAAAUCGAUGGAAGCUUGUUUUGUAUGGCAAUUUAGUAAUUUUUGCCGCACACCUGCCACCUAAUAGUGAGAAGUGAAGAUGAUUACAAAAAUAAAUCAUAUAUUGAGUCUGCGCUCCACUUCUCAUUUAUA
rnacentral:ncRNA from 1 species